ACACACUGUGGGUCACUGCCUGGGGUCAUAAAGAUUCACACAUGGAGCCAAUCACAGUCAUCUGGAGGAUUUCCCUUUUUCUUUGCUAUUAAUAUAGCCUGCCUCUUGCCUCAUAUAAGGUAAAAGAAAGGUUUUUGCUCCCCAAGUGAUGCAUCCUUCAAAAGAGAGGUUUUCUUAGAAAACUCCCCCUAAGCAAACAGCGUCGUCCAUUUGAAAUGCACAGCUGCUAUAGUCAACUUCUUCACAUACUUGACACAUUAGCCCAGGCAGCAGCACCAUUCUGCCUAGGCUUUGUGUUGAAGACAGACCUUCAUAAUUUCACUUCUCUGCCAUUGAAAAUUCAAAGGUAAAGGAGCAGAUCUGGAGGGAUCAUGGAUAUAGUGUGUUUGAUGAACUGGGAUAUUUGUAUGCUGUCGUCCCCUCACUUUCACACGUUCACUCAGUCAGCUCUCUUCUCUCCCUAGUCUCUAUCUCUAGUAAAACAUGCCAGACUGCCCCUGGAUGGAGUUCUCUUCAAUUGGAGGCCUCUCUGUGCAACUGGGGAUGGUUUCUCAACAGCCUGGGAUCCAUGAAAUUAGAGUAAUGCUUUGAGGAUAAAUUUGGACUGUACUUAAUGUCAACAGACUGCUACACUGACUUGGGACUACAGUUUGCAUUUGAUUAUCACUGCUCACCUCAACAUCAUUUAGCUGUAAUAAAUGGGCAUUCUGUGUCACCCAGA